CCCUUCUAUCCAACAGGCUCAAUGAGAUGGCCUCGGACGGUGCAUCAACAAACAGAAAAUAUCUGUAUGUUGUAGCAGAAUGUGAAAGGGUGCAACAAAGGUUGGAUGAGAUGACUAAAGAGGAUGAACUUGCAGAAGCGCAACAAGCAAAUGUUGACAAGGACACAACAGAGACUGAUGCAGCACCGCAUCCUGAUGGUUAUGGAGACAAACUUCAAGAUCCUGAUGUUGCAGUGUCAAAAGGGCGUCCACAAAAAGGACGUUACAAAACUUUCAUGGAAAGUUUGGCAUCUAAACAGAAAGUCACAUGCAGUCGGUGUGGGAAGCCUGAUCAUUAUAAAAGUUCUUGUACUGCAAGUACUGAAGAUGUCAAUUUGGCUCAGAGAGAGAAAGUCAGUCGCAAACAAACCUCAGCCUCAUCUGGGACAUCUACGGGCAAGCAACCAGCUGGUGCAAACCCGAGGAGGAAGGCAAGAAAAGAAAAAUGAAAAUUUGGGUGCUGGAAGUUCAAGAAGGCAAAAAAAUAUGCAAGUGAUGACUGGAAAAAUGUAAAUGCACUCAAGUUUUGGUUGUUUGUUGUGCCACUGAACAAAAAACAAGAAGGAACUAUGAUUGUUCAUGCAUGAUAGCACGUUUGCUACUGUUUUAAGACUGUUUUAGGAAAUGCAUAAGUUAUAAAUUUCAGUUGUACUGGUAGACUGGUAGACAAAAACCAGGGAAAGAAUUGCUUUACUGUUGGGGUAGCAACACUGACCUUAACACAGUAGGUUCCUUGAAAUUUUUUCAUCCACUUUUUCGCUUGCGGUGUAGAAGUAGAUUCCGUGUGCCAAAGAAUUUUGAAAUCCUGCACCAAAGAAAUGUUGGGGGGAAAUGAUAGAAACAAAAGAACAAGGGCAAAAAAAUGUUCUCGUUAGUGCCGCUAUAGACGACAUAAUUUUUUUAGAAAAAGAGGGAUACUGAAAAUAAUCAGACUUAAAAGCAUAAAACAAAUUAGAAAAAGAACACUCUAAAACCGAUGUUUCGAUAUUGAUCUGAAAACAAAAUGGGACAUUCCAAAUUGUUUUCUGGUUAAUGACCAGUUUCUACGACACUGCUAUACAACUUGGAUUUGCUUUCAAAUGAAAAAGAAAAAAACAUAUCGUUCCUCCAUGUACACCGGACACUUUUUGAUGUUGUUUAACUUUUGUGAUUGUUUUUGAUCAUCUUGCUAAAGUCCUUUAUUGUAGUAUUCCUCCAUCCAUUACAGAGAAUGUUGCAGUUGGUUGGCCUCCUUGACCUUCUGAAGAAGUACAAAAAAAAGAACUAGUUAGUAACCUCAAAAUGACAUACAAUAACAAAAGGAACUUUGUUUACAGUGGCAAACACAAAAAAAAAAUACACAAAAAUUGGAAAGACAGGAGAAAAAGAUAAACAAUUUUGUAUCACAAGUCAUUGCUAAAAAAAGCAGAAAAACUUUGCUUCAAUGGAAGAAGUAAAAACAUACCAAUUUACCAUGCGAAGUUCUUGACGAGUGUUUUGCCUUGAUCCUCUGUGUUGUGAAUACUAAAUAGAAUGUCAACAACAAAUCUGACCCUUGCGUUUGCUACGUCGUUCAUUGUGAACUGUCGCUGCAGAGGAUUUCGCAAAGCCCAAGUUUGCAUCCAGUUAAGAGCAAAAAUCCCACAAGCGUCACUGUUUUUUUGCAGAAAAUUUAACAACAAAAAUUAAAGAAAAUAUCAAAAAGUAAAAUGAAAAAAACAGUAGUUUCUGAAUUGAUAUUUACACAAAUUAGCUUAUUUUUACCUUCCGAUUUGCUUUGGCAUGUUUGGGUACUCUACACCAAACUUUCUGAAACUCAUUCCUCUCAGAUUAGAAUCUUCCCAUGUUUUUAUGAAAUUGUUUAUCUAGAGACAAUUGAAAAAUGAAUAUGUUUAGGAACACAAAAAUGAAAGGGUGUUGCAUUACCAACUUAAUUUAAAAAAUAACAGAAAAAGAAAAGAUUAGAAAAACUAUUUUAACCAUCAAAUCUCUGAUCCCGAUGUGGAAUGGUGUGUUCCCUUCAUAAUAUGAAUCUAGGAAGACAAACUUUCUUGCUAUAAUGUCAACAACGAACAAGAACCGGUGCUCAUCAUGUACUGACGGAAAGAAGAUCUGCAUUUUUUGGACACACAAUUUGAUUGCAAAAAUUUAAAAACAAAGGAUAAUAAAAACCCAAAAAAUAAAAAAAUUAAUAUAGUUUGGUGUAAUGAAGCAUACACGAUCACUUUCGUGUAGAGGCAAUGCUUUCCCAGCUCCAUUGAAGCUUCUAAGUGUUUUUCUCUUCAUUUCCCUCCUUCCUUCUUCAGAUUUCCAAUUUUCAAGAAAAUAAUCCUGAUUUGUGAAAAAGAACAAAAUUUAAUCAUUGAUCUUCCACCCAAGAAGUCCAGUAAAGUGUUGUACAAAAAAACCCCUAUGUUGAAAAUAUGUUGAGUUGUGCUUGGAUAUGAAAUUUCUUUGUACUUACACCUAGUGUAGUGAAGAAGUAGUGCGUUUUUGAUCUCCUUGGAUGAUUCUCUCGAAAGAGCAUCCGACAGAAAACAUUGAAAACAUAUGCUUCCACGUGACCACUCACACCAAAUGAAUCGCCAAGUUGUCCAAGGAAAAGGCUUGUUUUGUCAAUCAACACAACCACUUUGCUGCAAGUGGUUGAGAACCAGUAUUGUUAGUGAAGGCAACAAAAAUAUCAGAAACCAUUUAAUCAUGGGAAAAAAAGUGGAAAAUCAAAGUGUAGAAAAAAAACCUUCUGUGAGGUUCAACUUUGCUUAGUGCCACUAUGCCCCUGUGUAGCUCUAUCUCAUGUGGCUGAAGAGGUCCUCUCUCGUUGUGAUCAUAUGGUGAGGAGAGCCACUUGCUUGGGUGUGUUAUCCUUUUUGGAGGCAAAUUCUCUUUACCACUUGAUGAAGUGCCUAAUGAUAGCUUCGUGUUGUAUAAAUUGUCCGCCGUGUUUACCAUACUAGAGCAUGAACCAUUGAAUGAUCUUUCCCCCAAAACUUGAACAUCCGGAGACACCUACAAAAAAUCAUAAACACACACAAUUUAUGGUUAGUUUGUGUGACAGCAAAAAAAGAUGAUGCUGCAGAGAAGUAGGUGUCAAAAAGAGCUACAUAAAAAAGAAAGUUGUUCAACAAAUUUACAUGUAGGUAGUCACUUACAGGGAUUGGUUGGUGUUUAGUGCCUUCUUGUUCAUCAUUUUCAUCAAACUCAUCUGAGAAAAGCCUCUUCCCUAAAAUUGCUGUUGUUGAAUAUCUCUGCAAAGUGGCAAAUAAUGUUGAGAGGACGUGUUCAGCAAUCAAUCAAAAAAGAAACCAAAAACACACUUUUACAGGGCAGACUCACACACAUUUAAAAAAAUAGCAGAAUUUAUAAAAAAAGUAAAAAAAAAAGAGGAAAUAAGAACAUAAGCAACAUAACAAAAGAAAUGAUGAUACCUUCUUGUGCUUUUGUGUAGGACUUUCAGCGUUCUCAUUGUUCCAUUUGCCCAUUGGGGAGUAGCAUGUUGUUGCUCUGUCCCAAGUGUGUGACAUGCGUGCAACAGGCGAUGUCUGAAAAAAAAUGUUUUGUUGUAUAUUAUAAUGAAACACAGGAAAAACUAAGGAGAUUAGAAAACAGAAAAAGAGCAAGCGAGAAACGAAGAUAAUUUUUUUGGAAAAAAAGACAUACCAAGUCGAUGAUGCCAUCCUUUUCUUCAAACUGUGGAAGAAAGUCUCUGUACUUGCAAAUGCCUGUGGACACGGGUUGUCUCUGCGCACACUGUAUCGAGGAAUCUCCUUGCACUUCUUGCUCAUCCUUGCUUGCAUUGCAUGGAUAUUUUUUCUUUGCUUCCUACAAUUGUAGAAAUAUAAUUGGGUGUGUAAGAAAAAUGACAACUAAAAAAGGCAAUAGGGGCUAUGGAGAAACAAUUACCUCUAUUUGAGAAUUAUAUUCUUCCGAGUUCAUCUCUAAUGGGCGCCACAAUUCUGGCUCUGUUAUUUGAUUCCCACAAUCAUCAUGGUCUGGAAGAAUUCUGCAGCUAGGUGUUGCAUCAUCUGUGAAGAAGUACUUUUGCCUUGCAAUAUCUAAUGGAUGCAAAGUGUCCUGUAACUCUUUGACAUGUUGUUGCUUAUCGUCUAUCCCGUUGUCAUGUAAAAGAAGAAGAAAAAGGAAAAAAGGCACAAAACAAUGAGAAAAUCACUGCCAGCAAAAGCAUGCAAAACAAGACAAAAAAAUAUUGUCUGAUCAAUAGUAGAAAAAUGAAAAAAUGUAGGCAGUACUGUUUGAUAGUGCUAUGUUGAUAUCUAUAUCAAGUUCAACGCGCUUCUUGUAAUCGCUGACAUUAUUCGCAGUGUUUUGAUCUGAAACAAAUGAACAAAAAACAAGUAAAUGAAGAAACAAAGCAAGUCAAAAAAACUUUAGAAAAACAAGAAACACGUGCUUAGGAGUGCUUCUUGUAAUUCUGAAAUGUGUGAAAGUUUUUCCCUGGAAAAACACCUUUGUCAAUGUUGUUUUGAUGUUCCACACAUUCAGAAACCACUGCUUGCUUCUCAUUUUGUUGCUCCAUGGUACUAGUGUCUAUGCAAUGCUAUGUUCAUAGAAGAAACACAGGUUCAUUUUGUCUAUACAAAAAAAGAACAGACAGAACAACGUCUUUGAAUGAUGACACUAAGACAAACGUCAAAUGAAUUCCUCAGGGGGUGUACCUGUGUUUUAUUGUUGUUAACAGUAUUAUGUUCUAACCCUGUGAAUGUUGUCUGUACAUCUCUGGUGGAUACUUCCUUUGAAUUGUUAACUUGUGUCGUGCUCAUCACUGCUUUUGCCAAUCUAGCUGAUAAUAGCAUGUAGUUCAGGCUAGUGCUUUUCUGUGGUGCUUCUAUUUCAAUAGGACAAGCAUUGACACUGCGCUCGAGGAUGUUGCUAUGUCCAUCCAACAUAUUUGUGUCUUGGUUGUGUUUAGCAGGGCCAACCUUGUUCAUGCUUUCUCCCUGCAACAAAAAAAAAAAUUGAAGUGGUUGGUGUCAGAGUUAUAUGCACCAAGCUAAAAAAGAAAAAAAAUGCGUUGACAAAAAAGAAACAUCCUUACUUGUUGUUGCAGUGCAAUGCAUUCAGCACGCACCGGUUGUCCAACUAUAUGUGUACAUCCUUUACCAAUUUCAGAAUUUACUUCCUGGCAAAUUAGUUUACAGAGUUGCAUGUUAAAUAACAAAAAAAUAAGAAAAAAGGAUAAAAAACGUUAGAUCUUCGGUUUUUAUAUGAAACUAACCAUUUCAUCUAGAUGUUUGUGCUCAUUUAUAGGACCAUUCCAUGGUACUGGUUGCAAUUCAGCUUUGACUCCUUGUGUGUCAACUUCAGGUGUGCUUUGCUGGAGGUGUGACCAUGGGCAUAGUCAUAAAUUUGGUACAGAAAAAAAAUGAACUGAAAAUUACACACGAAAAAUGUGGAUUUAAAAAGACUAAAAAAUAAGAACAAAAAUACCUUUAUUUUAUCUUGCAACAAUACAUCCUUAGUUGUUGAAGUUAUUGACUGCUGUGUACUCGUCUUCAUUCUCUUCUUCCUGCCUCUUUGAUCUGCCACAAAUAUAGUGGGUGUCUUAUUACAGAAAACACAACAUGAAUUAGAACAAGAAAAAAUGCUGUAAUAACAUACCACUGCCAAUUUCAAUCCCAUUAGAAUCAACUCUAAUAGUACUGCCAGACCCAUUAUCUUUGUCGGAUGUGAUGUACAAGUGCUCGGAUGACUCUAACUUCUCUGUAUGUUGAGAGCCAUUAAAAGAAGAAGAGACAACGUUCAAAGUAUCCAGCAACACUUGUUUUGCUAUCAGACAAGUGGUCAGGUUUUGAUCUUUUACACGCUCCUGGAAAUUGAGGAAUAUAUCUUCUUUGAUCUAACAAGCAGAAAAAAAUUCCACAAAAAUAAAUCAAAAAAAAUAUAAAAAGGGGAAACCAAAAUAGCUUAAAUUGGCUGUUGAAGUUGCUCUCUCAACCAACUCUCAUGUAUUUUACCUUAUCUGAAAAAGAGUUGCCUAAGACCCUUUGUAGAGCUUUUUGGAUGUUUGAGUUCUUGGCGGUGCUUGCCCAUGCACCGUCAGUUUCUGCAUAGCAAGUUUCUGCCUCAUCUUUUAUCUGACAAAAAAAUGGAAAACAAUAAACAAACAUAAAAAAGGAGUAGAUGUAAGAAACCAAAAAGAUACGCAUAAAACAGAGGCAAAAAAAUAGCAGAGUAUGAUAAUUACUUGAAGAGCUCCAUAUAAUCCAUCUUUCCCAAUUAGCAUAUCACUGAAAUGUUUAAUGGUUUGUCCUUUCCAAAAACAAACCCUGGGUAGUGCUGGUGGAAUUGUUAUUGAUCCAAAAUUGUUGAAGUCUAGACACCGAACCUGCAAAAUAAACAACAAAAAUACAAAUGCAGCCUUGAGAAUGUUUGAUGAGAGCAGAGUGCUCAUAAAAUAAAAUCAAAUUAACAAAAAGUUUCAUAAAAA